rnacentral:rRNA from 1 species
GCGUGCCUUUUGUAGAAUGAACCGGCGAGUUACGAUUUGAUGCAAGGUUAAGCAGUAAAUGUGGAGCCGUAGCGAAAGCGAGUCUGAAUAGGGCGUUUAGUAUUUGGUCGUAGACCCGAAACCAGGUGAUCUACCCUUGGUCAGGUUGAAGUUCAGGUAACACUGAAUGGAGGACCGAACCGACUUACGUUGAAAAGUGAGCGGAUGAACUGAGGGUAGCGGAGAAAUUCCAAUCGAACCUGGAGAUAGCUGGUUCUCUCCGAAAUAGCUUUAGGGCUAGCCUCAAGUGAUGAUUAUUGGAGGUAGAGCACUGUUUGGACGAGGGGCCCCUCUCGGGUUACCGAAUUCAGACAAACUCCGAAUGCCAAUUAAUUUAACUUGGGAGUCAGAACAUGGGUGAUAAGGUCCGUGUUCGAAAGGGAAACAGCCCAGACCACCAGCUAAGGUCCCAAAAUAUAUGUUAAGUGGAAAAGGAUGUGGCGUUGCCCAGACAACUAGGAUGUUGGCUUAGAAGCAGCCAUCAUUUAAAGAGUGCGUAAUAGCUCACUAGUCGAGUGACACUGCGCCGAAAAUGUACCGGGGCUAAACAUAUUACCGAAGCUGUGGAUUGUCCUUUGGACAAUGGUAGGAGAGCGUUCUAAGGGCGUUGAAGCAUGAUCGUAAGGACAUGUGGAGCGCUUAGAAGUGAGAAUGCCGGUGUGAGUAGCGAAAGACGGGUGAGAAUCCCGUCCACCGAUUGACUAAGGUUUCCAGAGGAAGGCUC